CUACGGGAGGCAGCAGUUAGGAAUCUUCCACAAUGGGCGAAAGCCUGAUGGAGCGACACUGCGUGAGGGAUGAAGGUCUUCGGAUUGUAAACCUCUAAAACGGGGACGAUAAUGACGGUACCCGUUGAGAAGCACCGGCUAACUCCGUGCCAGCAGCCGUGGUAAUACGGAGGGUGCAAGCGUUAUCCGGAAUCACUGGGCGUAAAGGGCGCGUAGGCGGUCUGUUAAGUCCGAUGUUAAAGCCCGGGGCUCAACCCCGGCACGGCGUUGGAUACUGGCAGGCUGGACGGCUGGAGAGGCGAGUGGAAUUACCAGUGUAGCGGUGGAAUGCGUAGAUACUGGUAGGAACACCUAUGGCGAAGGCAGCUCGCUGGACAGCACGUGACGCUGAGGAGCGAAAGCGUGGGGAGCGAACAGGAUUAGAAACCCGUGUAGUCC
rnacentral:rRNA from 1 species